UUUUUUUUUUUUUUCCUCCUUCCCCCCUUUUCCCUCGGCCGGGCUGACAGAUCAGAGUGAGAGGCGCUGGCAAUGGACUCGGAAGCUCGGCUGCCGCUGUUACUGCUCCCCCCUGGGCUCCGGCGAGAGCCUUUCCCUGUCAAGCAAGAGGGGUGAGGAUCAUAUUUUUAUUUUGGAAACUAAAAAGUGCUCCCAGGGUCGGUGAUUAUUAAGGGGAAAUCCCUGAAUAUACUCUCCAGCCAAGAAGGCAGGGCUGCCGGGGCUGCACAAGAAGAGGCAGCAGCCUCCUAUAGCACCACUACAGGCACUGCGAGGACAUAACACCAGAGAGCCGCUCCUCUGCCCUCCGAAACGACAACUUUCCUACCAUCUUGGAGGCAGAGGAAAGGGGGGCCGGGGGGAAAAGUGCACCCGCUCCCGAUAAAGUACACACUUCUACUUCUCAUCUCUGGAAAAAAGUCCACACCGGCCGUCUACACCGGCGCCUGGGGGAAAAAAGCAGGGAAGAAACUGGGGGCGCUUGAGAAACGUUUUCAGUUGCUCCACGGGGAAAAAUGUUUCUGCAUCUUCUGAUGGAAAGAAAUCUUUACAAGACACAGGUUUUCCGGUCCAAGUUCUGUGUCUGGUGGUCAGUUUAUAAAUUUGUACUUCAAGAGACUUCAUAGCCACUUUAUGUCCAUUUGUCUAUUUAUAUGUUUUUACAGGUGUGUUUACAGGGUGCCUUCUAUGUAAAAAUGGGGAUUAUAUAUUGCCCUCAAAAGUGAGAUUGCUGAAAGACAAUUGUAAAGGGAUGUCUUUUGUCUCUUUUUCUCAAAGCAAUGUAAAUAAAACCUAUUGACUGUCCAGAAAGGCAUGAUACAGCUGUUUAUUUUUCACAGUGCAAAUAAAGGCAGAGAUCCCUGGGAGGUUAAAUACAACUUAGGUAUAACUGACCAGAUUCCUGGAAAUAAUUCUGUUAGGGUCUCCCCAGGAAGAAAGGUUACUGUAAAACUGGAAAGAGAUUUGAAAGACAGCUUUAGAUUUUCUUUAAAACUGCUUAUUAAGAAACUUUGCUUAUUAUACCCAGAUAACUGGCUUUUCUAAUUAGAUGCUUUAACUCUUUGGUGCCUUUCACGUGUUGCUGCCCACUUUCUGUGUCACAGAAUGGAAAAAUGUGUGUUUUUGUUAGAGUUGCUGUGUUGUUAGUUCAUAACUUCCAAUGUGCUGCCCGCCUCUGUAAAUUACUUUUAAUAUGUUGCAGUGGAUGUCACGGGUCUACUUUUUUUAAUGAGCAAAGCUUACUAGAUGAGUGGGAUCAAAGUUACACAAAGCUGAGGAAGCACAGAGGUGAGAGAAGCGUGCCACCCCCCUUGCAGCAAUUCCCACAGAACGCUUAUUGGAGGAGAGUAAAUUACAGAGAUGUUUUUCUAUUUUUGCGAAGAGGAGAAUACCAGAAAAUGACCAGGGGAUCUUUUUGUAUGUUCUACAGGGAAUGAUGAAUUGAAUCUUGAACUAAAAAGUUAUUUUUCUGACAUAUGUUGGCUAACCUAGUGGGAAUGGAUUUGUAAUAUUAGUGCCUUGAAUCAGCAGAAUAUUUAAUUUCUUUUUUUUUAAGAUUUUAUUUAUUUAUUUGAGAGAGCGAGAUGAGAGGGGGGAGGGGCAGAGGGAGAAGCAGACUCCCUGCUGAGCAGAGAGCCCAAUGCGGGACUCGAUCCUGGGACUCCAGGAUCAUGACCUGAGCUGAAGGCAGUCGCUUAACCAACUGAGCCACCCAGGUGUCCCAAUAUUUAAUUUCUUUAAUUUAAAAUGUAUUGCAGAGCACUUAGAAAUAACUGAGGACUCCACUUAAAAAUGUCUCUUUCUUUGAGCUUCCAAAUUUAGAAAUUCCCAUACUGUUAACGUGAGUUCCGAUAAUGCAUAUAUCAGAUACUUAAUAUUUUCAUGUUGACCCCCAUCUUUAUUAUCUAAAUUUGAAUACAGUACCCUCUCCCUCUGCUGCUCCCCCCUGCUUAUAUUCUCUCACUUGCCCUCUAACUCUCAAAUAAAUAAAAUCUUAAAAAAAAAUAAAGUAAUUAAAGUAAAAUUAACUGAUUCUGAUCAUCUUGGAAACCUCAACUGUGAAAUUGUGUUCUAUUUACAAGUUUUUAAAAAACUUUGGGAGAUCAAACACAUUGGUCAUAACAAGGAAAUUACUUCCCUUAACAUGGAACCCAAGUGGACUUGAAAAACGUGUUUUGAACUUGUUCUUAUAUAUGAUAUGACCUUAUAGGUAUGCUUUGCAUUUUUCAAGAAAUUAAGAUGUGUUCACUUUAAGCUGACUGCACCCUUUUAUGCAAUCCCUCUUGUGUCCUGCAAACUUAUUUGCAUGCUAGGGAUAUGGGAUAUGAUGCAUAGUCUUAGUAUUUCAAUGUCUUUCUCUUUAUAAAGCUUGACUUACUUGUACGUAGCUAUAAUCCAAGAUGUUUAACCACCAGCUGAGCUAAAUAACCCAGACGGGGAAUUACAGCCUAACCAAGAAAGAACUCUCACUACGUUUGCAAUAUUGGUGAAUUUGAUUGGUCACUAUUUAGGUUGAUAAUUGAACUCAUAUUAGGUGCUGUGUCUCCAUAAUUCCUAGAAGCUGCAGGUGGUAACAAAACUACUGACAUAAUUGGGGCGCCUGGGUGGCUCAGUCAGUUAAGUGUCUGCCUUUGGCUCAGGUCAUGAUCUCAAGGUCCUGGGAUCCAGCCCGCUUCAGACUUCCCUUUUUUUUUUUUUUAAA